rnacentral:rRNA from 1 species
UACGUAGGGCGCAAGCGUUAUCCGGAAUUAUUGGGCGUAAAGAGCUCGUAGGCGGUUUGUCGCGUCUGCCGUGAAAGUCCGGGGCUCAACUCCGGAUCUGCGGUGGGUACGGGCAGACUAGAGUGCUGUAGGGGAGACUGGAAUUCCUGGUGUAGCGGUGAAAUGCGCAGAUAUCAGGAGGAACACCGAUGGCGAAGGCAGGUCUCUGGGCAGUAACUGACGCUGAGGAGCGAAAGCAUGGGGAGCGAACAGG